rnacentral:rRNA from 1 species
AGAGACAGCAGUCGCCGCGGUAAUACAGAGGGUGCAAGCGUUAAUCGGAAUUACUGGGCGUAAAGCGCGCGUAGGUGGUUUGUUAAGUUGGAUGUGAAAGCCCCGGGCUCAACCUGGGAACUGCAUCCAAAACUGGCAAGCUAGAGUACGGUAGAGGGUGGUGGAAUUUCCUGUGUAGCGGUGAAAUGCGUAGAUAUAGGAAGGAACACCAGUGGCGAAGGCGACCACCUGGACUGAUACUGACACUGAGGUGCGAAAGCGUGGGGAGCAAACAGGAUUAGAUACCCCCGUAGUCCCUGUCUCUUAUAC